CGCAGCUCGAGUAGCGUGCGGUGUGUGGCCCGGGAUGGGGUAAAGCCCUCCUGACGUCUUGGAGGGGAUGGAGAGCUUCCAGAAGACACUGGGGCUGGAGGACACGGCUAAAAUGUGCAAAAUUGUCAAGGCAGGAGGUAAAGUGAUUGGGAACUGCAUCCAUUUCUCCAAAUGUCCAAGGCCAGAAGUCUUGCUGAUGGCUGCAAACAAGGUCAAAAUAACCAUUCUGGGUAAUAAGAGAGCUCCAUCAACUUGCUGCAUAAUUCCCUUCUGUCAGACUGACUUCGUAGGCUUGGAUUUUGUUGCCUGCCUCUCCACCAGAUUAAAAGACCCCUGCAAGUGAAGUCUACGAGCAGUGAAGAAAAAGUCCCAUGCUUUCAAGGAAAAAAUGAGAAAUUCAGGUGCUAAAAAAUGGAAAAUCUCCAGCAAUACCUGUGUUUACCUCUUGUCUCUCUAGAGAUGCCUUUACUGUCUCAUUAUAUGCUCCAGGAUUGUGUUUACUUGGGAGAAUUGGGGGAAAUAGGCAGAACUGAGUGGUGAUGGGACCCUGGUCUUAUGCAGCCAUGUGUCUCUACAUGGAAGGCAUUAGAAAGAGGUGGGUCUACGGCGUAUUCUCUCAGACCUUGGGAAAGAAGCCUGGGAGCUUCACAUCCCUCUGUUUGAAGAGGAGAUGGGAAACAGCACAGACCACUCCGUCUUAAGGCUUUCCCAUCACACUGAUUUUAUUUGUGUUUUGAGAUAACUCAAGGAUCGCCGUGGCUUGCUUACAGAACCGUGGUGGUGCUGGGAAUCUCAGGGAGGGUCAGGGCAGGCAGUUUGCUUUGGCAGGCACGGUGUGAGCGCAUGGGGUGAAGGCUGACCACCUCCUUCGCUCCUCACUGACGGGUUGGCCAUUUUCCUUGGGUGGUGGCCAGCCAUUACUGCUAGAUUCACAUUACAGGGCUGCAUUUGCACUCUUCUACAUCAUCCCAGGCAUCCAGAUGUGUGACAGACGUGCACGCAUGCACUGCGCUGCGGAUGCUGUAUUUUGGCUGCAGCUGAGGUAAAUAUUAUUUCUGUAUCAUGAGGAGGAUGAAAUAAUACCUCUGGAGGAUUUGGAAGAAAGAUGGAGGAGACUUAGUUUAUCGUGGUCUGCCCAUAGCUUUUUUCACUUGAGCACAUUGUCGUGCAACAAGAAAUAAAGCAGGAGAAGAAAAUGCA
ensembl:lncRNA